rnacentral:rRNA from 1 species
CACUUAGAUGUUCUGGGCCGCACGCGCGCUACACUGACGAAUGCAACGAGCUUAUAACCUUGGCCGAAAGGUCUGGGUAAUCUCCAAAUUUCGUCGUGAUGGGGAUAGAUUAUUGCAAUUAUUAAUCUUCAACGAGGAAUGCCUAGUAAGCGCAAGUCAUCAGCUUGCGUUGAUUACGUCCCUGCCCUUUGUACACACCGCCCGUCGCUCCUACCGAUUGAAUGGUCCGGUGAAGCGUUCGGACCGUGGCCUUUGGACGGUUCGCCGUCUGUUGGCUGCGGGAAGUUCGUUAAACCUUAUCAUUUAGAGGAAGGAGAAGUCGUAACA